GCGUAAGACAUUUUGAUGGAAAAAUUAAGGUUUAUUUUGAGUAGUAUAACAAAUUUAUAAAUUUGUUGAAAAUAAAUGAAAAAUUGGUUUUGUAAAGGCAACAAUUAGUGGCGGCUCUAAUUGAAAGUCAAAUCACUUUCUAUCAUUCAUAAGUUUGGAUUUAUAUAUUAGUUAUCAGUUAUUAAACGCGUCAUUUAACCCAAAUCCGUUUAUUCUCUAUCAUUUUAUAACCCAUAGGGACGGCUCAUUGCUACAGGAAGUGGCGCUGCGUUGUGGUCGGGCGAUUGCGGGAUCUACUUGUUCUUCGUUGCAGCAUCUUCUGUGAAAUGCUGAAUGCUAUACUGAAAUGGCUGUGCAAUGCAACCGUGCAAGCGUGCAACUCUGAGAAUGGUUCCCACUUAGAGGGUAAAAUGCAGAGGAAACAGAACAAGCAGUGGAAAAUUAUGAGAACCUAGCUGGCAAUGUAGCAUGUUCAAAAACUGAUGGAGCAUCAGAAUUGGGUUGGCGGCCGUCAAGUGCAAGGAAAGCUCGGUCUUUUAAUGCUUUGCGUUUUGAGACAAAAAGUAUUUCGUCCUGGCCUUAUUUGUUUAUAAGGGAAAAAAAUAGUAGUAGUAUGUUUGGUAUGUUGGAAUUAGAAUUGGAACGAAACAUGAAGGUUUUAGAGUGGAAAUUAAAGGGAAAGAGAGAUGUGUUGGGGGAUGUGGCAGCCCACUUGAUUAUGAAGAACGUGAGGAAGCCUAGUUGGGUUGAUUGUGUCUAUCCUGGCGUCUGAACAAGUAUGCCCUGCUUGAAUAUUGUACGAGCUGGUUUCAAAAUUGGGUCGCCAGGUGGUGGUGCUGGUGGUGGUAUGCUGCUGCUGCUUAGCUCCUAUAGUUUACCGUAUUAUUGAUGAUUUGUUUUGUUCUUGGGUACUGUCGUUUGGGUUCACAUAUGGAUUGUAUGAUACGGAACUUAGUGAAGUUGUAGGAGGGGCCAGGGGGGGCCUUAUUUGUUUUAUGAUUUAUUGAAGCAGGAUAUGGAUGCGUGGAGGGUGGUUCAGUAUUUUAACUAUCAGACGCAUGCUGCAAUUGCAUGCCCAGACCUUCCAACAACUUAAAACUCUCCCUAUUCCAUUUGUUUACUACUACAUUUCUUAUGUUAUGAUGUGGUAACAUUAACUGUUCCACCCAGAUAAUAAGAGUGAGUUGCAUGAACCGUGCUUUGAUUGAUUA